rnacentral:misc_RNA from 1 species
AAGUUGCGAUAAGUAAUGUGAAUUGCAGAACUCAGUGAAUCAUCGAGUCUUCGAACGCACAUUGCGCCCCCUGGCACUCCGGGGGGCACGCCUGUCCGAGCGUCGUCCGACCACCCAUCGGGUCCCCCUCAAGGGGCCCCGGCCUUGGGCCGACGAAUCGCCCCGCGUCGGGCGGGCCCGCAAGUCACCGACCGGUCGUCCCCGAGGGCCCCGAGCGCAGCGGCUGUCCCAUGCUCGAGGUCCCCGCGUGGAUGCCCACCGGCGUCUUCCCACUGACACGCACGUUUGACCUCGGAUCAGGCGGGGUUACCCGCUGAACUUAAGC